GGAUAACUCUGGGAAACUGGGGAUAAUACCGGAUAUUAGGUGAUGCCUGCAAUGGUUUGCCUUUGAAAUGUUUCUUGUAUUCGCCUAAGGAUAGAUCUGCGGCUGAUUAGGUCGUUGGUGGGGUAAUGGCCCACCAAGCCGAUGAUCGGUACGGGUUGUGAGAGCAAGGGCCCGGAGAUGGAACCUGAGACAAGGUUCCAGACCCUACGGGGUGCAGCAGGCGCGAAACCUCCGCAAUGUACGUAAGUGCGACGGGGGGAUCCCAAGUGUUAUGCUUAAUAGUAUGACUUUUCAUUAGUGUAAAAAGCUUUUAGAAUAAGAGCUGGGCAAGACCGGUGCCGGCCGCCGCGGUAACACCGGCAGCUCGAGUGGUAGCUGUUUUUAUUGGGCCUAAAGCGUUCGUAGCCGGUUUAAUAAGUCUUUGGUGAAAGCUUGUAGCUUAACUAUAAGAAGUGCUGGAGAUACUAUUAGACUUGAAGUCGGGAGAGGUUAGAGGUACUACCGGGGUAGGGGUGAAAUCCUAUAAUCCUG
rnacentral:rRNA from 1 species